rnacentral:lncRNA from 1 species
CUGAUCUGGAUGUAGAACUCUCUCAGCUACCUCUCCAGCACCAUGUCUGCCUGCCCGCCACCAUGCUUCCUUCCAUGAUAAUAAUGGACUAAACCUCCAAAGUCUUACAGCCCAUCACCAAGGGAGCUAAGGCAGAAACUCAAGUGAGAACCCUGAAGCUGGGAACUGAAGCAGAGACAGGCCACAGAGGAAAGCUGUUUCCUGGCUGUCUCAGCCUGCUUUCUCAUACAAUCCAGGACCACCUGCCAGGGAUGGCACUGCCCACAAUCAUUAAUCAAGACAAUGCCUCACAGACAUGCCCAGUGGACAGUCUGAUGGUGGCAGUUCCUCAAUGGAGAUUCCUUCUUCCCAGAUGACUCCAGUUUGUGUCAAGUUGAAAAGAAGAAGAAGAAGAAGAAGAAGAAGAAGAAGAAGAAGAAGAAGAAGAAGAAGAAGAAGAAGAAGACGCUAACUAACCAAUACAGCUCAGUACAACUUCAGAGGCAACUCCAGUAAAAGUGUGACUAUCAGCAGGCAGAUGUCAUUAGAGGCAUCUUAGGGCUGCUAAAACCCCUAAUGGAAUAGAGUAUGAACACACAAUCUCCCACUGGGCAGCCAACUCCCAAGCAAAAUUCAAGAUGGGAGAAGAGCCAAGGGGGCAACCGGAAUUCUCUGCCUCAACUCUAUUUGUUACAUAAAGACUUCUCAUAUACUAUAUAUAUUCUGAUUUCUAGAUCAUAGUACCUAUACCCCCAAGGAUUCUUCCUCUUAUGGAAAAUGUCAAAUUCCCACACAGAAAGCUUCUUAAAAACCCGGAGGGGAAGCCCGGCAGUGGUAGGGCAUGUCUUUAAUUCCCCACUUGGAAGGCAGAGACGGGUGGAUCUCCAUGAGUUUGAGACCAGCCUGGUCUGCAGAGUGAGUUCCAGGACAGCCUGGACUGUUACACAGAGAAACCUUGUCUCUAAAAAACAAAAACAAAAACAAAACCAACAAAAAAAAAAUAAAAACCCAGGUGUAGGAAGGGAGCUUCCAUUUGGAAGAAGAAAGACUCUUUCUGCAUUGCUGAACUCUAUGGAUGAUUCACACGUGCUGUUGACGUACUUACAUGUGUUAGCUAAGCUGAGAUGCAAAUCUUCUUAUGCUUUCCCAAACUUUUCCAAAAGGCCACAGAUGCUGUGGGUUUGGAAGCACAGCUCUUCAGGUUUUACUCUCUACAUUAGGUGUGAUCCAGAUGGUGAAAUAGAGUAAGUGGGUCUUAGGAAUGUGGCUUCUUUAUUCCCAUGCUUGUUUAUAGGGAGUGACAUAACACAGCUCCAGGCAUUGUGAUACCUCUUUUACUUACAUUGGCUAAUGUAAACCAUAUCCUGGUUUACAUAUGCUCUCCUAAAUCCUGGUCUGACAUGUGCCCAGGUCAUUCCUCUUAGUGCUCCGUCACAGGAAGAAAAUGCAAGGUUUCCAUGUAUUUUUAUUAGUCUCACGGUUGCUAGUCAUUUUGGCAUUGAGUUUAGGCAGGGGUACACGCAAAGCAGUUGGUGUGAGGUUUUCAUUUUUAUUUUUUAAAGACUUAUUUGUUCACUUUUAUUUAUGUGUAUGUGUGUACCUGCCUGAGUUUGUGUGUGCCACAUGCAUGCAGGUGCCUUCGGAGGUCAGAGGGCAUUGGAUUGCCAGAAACUGGACUUACAGGCAGGUAUGAGAUACUUAAUAUAGUGCUGGG